rnacentral:tRNA from 1 species
GAGAGGUGGCUGAGUUGGUCUAAGGCACUUGUCUUGAAAACAAGAGAUCCUUUACGGGGUCCGUGGGUUCGAAUCCCACCCUCUCC